CCUGGCGGCAGUAGCGCGGUGGUCCCACCUGACCCCAUGCCGAACUCAGAAGUGAAACGCCGUAGC
rnacentral:rRNA from 4 species